rnacentral:rRNA from 1 species
AACGAACGCUGGCGGCAGGCUUAACACAUGCAAGUCGAACGCAUCGCAAGAUGAGUGGCAGACGGGUGAGUAACGCGUGGGAACAUACCCUUUUCUACGGAAUAGCUCUGGGAAACUGGAAUUAAUACCGUAUACGCCCUUUACUGGUGGACAGUUUAGGGGAAAGAUUUAUCGGGGAAGGAUUGGCCCGCGUUGGAUUAGCUAGUUGGUGGGGUAACGGCCUACCAAGGCGACGAUCCAUAGCUGGUCUGAGAGGAUGAUCAGCCACAUUGGGACUGAGACACGGCCCAAACUCCUACGGGAGGCAGCAGUGGGGAAUAUUGGACAAUGGGCGCAAGCCUGAUCCAGCCAUGCCGCGUGAGUGAUGAAGGCCUUAGGGUUGUAAAGCUCUUUCACCGAUGAAGAUAAUGACGGUAGUCAGAGAAGAAGCCCCGGCUAACUUCGUGCCAGCAGCCGCCGUAA